rnacentral:rRNA from 1 species
GUGCCAGCGCCGCGGUCAUACGGAGGAUCCAAGCGUUAUCCGGAAUCAUUGGGUUUAAAGGGUCCGUAGGCGGGAUGAUAAGUCAGUGGUGAAAGUCUGCAGCUCAACUGUAGAAUUGCCAUUGAUACUGUUGUUCUUGAGUUAUUGUGAAGUGGUUAGAAUGAGUAGUGUAGCGGUGAAAUGCAUAGAUAUUACUCAGAAUACCGAUUGCGAAGGCAGAUCACUAACAAUGAACUGACGCUGAUGGACGAAAGCGUAGGUAGCGAACAGGAUUAGAUACCCUGGUAGUCC